rnacentral:rRNA from 1 species
UGCCUAACACAUGCAAGUCGAACGCGGUGCCAGAGCUUGCUUUGGUUACCUAGUGGCGCACGGGUGAGUAACGCGUGGGAACCUACCCUAGGAUGGGGGGACAACCGCUGGAAACGGCGGCUAAUACCGCAUACGCCCUAUGGGGGAAAGGCUUCGGCCGUCCAAGGAUGGCCCCCGCGUCCGAUUAGCUAGUUGGUGGGGUAACGGCCUACCAAGGCGACGAUCGGUAGCUGGUCUGAGAGGAUGAUCAGCCACACUGGGACUGAGACACGGCCCCAGACUCC